AUCCGAGCGUUAUCCGGAUUUAUUGCGUUUAAGGGAGCGUAGAUGGAUGUUUAAGUCAGUUGUGAAAGUUUGCGGCUCAACCGUAAAAUUGCAGUUGAUACUGGAUAUCUUGAGUGCAGUUGAGGCAGGCGGAAUUCGUGGUGUAGCGGUGAAAUGCUUAGAUAUCACGAAGAACUCCGAUUGCGAAGGCAGCCUGCUAAGCUGCAACUGACAUUGAGGCUCGAAAGUGUGGGUAUCAAACAGGAUUAGAUACCCUGGUAGUCCACACGGUAAACGAUGAAUACUCGCUGUUUGCGAUAUACAGCAAGCGGCCAAGCGAAAGCGUUAAGUAUUCCACCUGGGGAGUACGCCGGCAACGGUGAAACUCAAAGGAAUUGACGGGGGCCCGCACAAGCGGAGGAACAUGUGGUUUAAUUCGAUGAUACGCGAGGAACCUUACCCGGGCUUAAAUUGCAGAUGAAUUACGGUGAAAGCCGUAAGCCGCAAGGCAUCUGUGAAGGUGCUGCAUGGUUGUCGUCAGCUCGUGCCGUGAGGUGUCGGCUUAAGUGCCAUAACGAGCGCAACCCUUGUUGUCAGUUACUAACAGGUUCUGCUGAGGACUCUGACAAGACUGCCAUCGUAAGAUGUGAGGAAGGUGGGGAUGACGUCAAAUCAGCACGGCCCUUACGUCCGGGGCUACACACGUGUUACAAUGGGGGGUACAGAGGGCCGCUACCACGCGAGUGGAUGCCAAUCCCCAAAACCUCUCUCAGUUCGGACUGGAGUCUGCAACCCGACUCCACGAAGCUGGAUUCGCUAGUAAUCGCGCAUCAGCCACGGCGCGGUGAAUACGUUCCCGGGCCUUGUACACACCGCCCGU
rnacentral:rRNA from 1 species